rnacentral:rRNA from 1 species
GACGAACGCGGGCGGCGUGAUUCACACAUGCAAGUCGAAGAAGGACGCCCAGCUUGCUGGUUGGAUGAGUGGCGAACGGGUGAGUAACACGUGAGUAACCUGCCCCCUUCUUUGGGAUAACGCCCGGAAACGGGUGCUAAUACUGGAUAUUCACUGGCCUUCGCAUGGGGGUUGGUGGAAAGGUUUUUUCUGGUGGGGGAUGGGCUCGCGGCCUAUCAGCUUGUUGGUGGGGUGAUGGCCUACCAAGGCUUUGACGGGUAGCCGGCCUGAGAGGGUGACCGGUCACAUUGGGACUGAGAUACGGCCCAGACUCCUACGGGAGGCAGCAGUGGGGAAUAUUGCACAAUGGGCGAAAGCCUGAUGCAGCGACGCCGCGUGAGGGAUGACGGCCUUCGGGUUGUAAACCUCUUUCGCUCAUGGUCAAGCCGCAGCUUUGGGUUGUGGUGAGGGUAGUGGGUAAAGAAGCGCCGGCUAACUACGUGCCAGCAGCCGCGGUAAUACGUAGGGCGCGAGCGUUGUCCGGAAUUAUUGGGCGUAAAGGGCUUGUAGGCGGUUGGUCGCGUCUGCCGUGAAAUCCUCUGGCUUAACUGGGGGCGUGCGGUGGGUACGGGCUGACUUGAGUGCGGUAGGGGAGACUGGAACUCCUGGUGUAGCGGUGGAAUGCGCAGAUAUCAGGAAGAACACCGGUGGCGAAGGCGGGUCUCUGGGCCGUUACUGACGCUGAGGAGCGAAAGCGUGGGGAGCGAACAGG